CUUAGCAGAGAUGCUUUUGGUGCCUUCGGGAACUCUGAGACAGGUGCUGCAUGGCUGUCGUCAGCUCGUGUUGUGAAAUGUUGGGUUAAGUCCCGCAACGAGCGCAACCCUUUAUCCUUUGUUGCCAGCGGUCCGGCCGGGAACUCAAAGGAGACUGCCAGUGAUAAACUGGAGGAAGGUGGGGAUGACGUCAAGUCAUCAUGGCCCUUACGAGUAGGGCUACACACGUGCUACAAUGGCGCAUACAAAGAGAAGCGACCUCGCGAGAGCAAGCGGACCUCAUAAAGUGCGUCGUAGUCCGGAUUGGAGUCUGCAACUCGACUCCAUGAAGUCGGAAUCGCUAGUAAUCGUGGAUCAGAAUGCCACGGUGAAUACGUUCCCGGGCCUUGUACACACCGCCCGUCACACCAUGGGAGUGGGUUGCAAAAGAAGUAGGUAGCUUAACCUUCGGGAGGGCGCUUACCACUUUGUGAUUCAUGACUGGGGUGAAGUCGUAACAAGGUAGGCGUAGUGCU
rnacentral:rRNA from 1 species